ensembl:lncRNA
ACUGAACUCAUUUGGAUAUAUUUAAGUGAGACUCUACAAUAUUAUUUGACACAAAUCUAUCUAAAUCAAAAUUUUAAUAAUUUUCACGCCAAACAUUUACUGGACUGAUUUAAAUAUUAAAAUCACUCCUUUCUAAUCCUCUGCUGUACGUUCAAACCUGAGGCCUUAAAUAGAAACACACAAGUAUCUGUUUGAAGGAACUUCUGCAGAGUCCUGGUUCCAGAACAUGAUGAUAGAAUUAUAGACAAACUUUAACAAAAGCUGCCUGAGAGUUUACAGGUUUUUAUGUUGGAUUUCUUCAGUAAUUUAAUGAGAGUUAUCAGCAAUAAUCAAGUGUUCAUUUGAUGAACUUCAUUUCCUAAAACAUCCAGAAUUGGAGCUCAUAUCUUUGGCAGCUGUAAAGUUUCUGCUCCUUCAAAGUUCACAACACAAUGAAUGAAUUCCUAAAACACUCUCAAUGCUGGAGAGCGUUUGAUGCUGAAGCAGUGACCAGUUUUUCUGUUUCUUCUCUGGAGAUGCACAAUGAGGGACGUCUGCAGAGACUGAGAAAGAGUCUCACCACAUCCUGACAUGAGGAAAAAGACUUUAUUGAAGACUACAAUGAGAAAAACUAUCAGACAGCAGACGGCUGCAUUCAAGAGAGGAAGACCAUCAAACAUCCACGUCAGCUGAUGGAGGUCCAAGAGUCUCACCCAACAAACAACCUACAGAGUGAAGACCUCAAAUCUGAUUGGACGGCCUCCUAUUCAGCCACGUUUUAGGCUGUUAGAUUGUUCCAGAUAAGACAAGAUUCUUCAGAGCUGUUCUACCACGAGCCUGACAGGAAGAACUCCAACAGCUACUGAAUGUUCCUGUGGUCCCCUCAAGGUUACAGGAGGAGUCCUACGAGGACGAGCUGGUCCACCUGAUGGCGGCCAGUCGCUGCGGUUCAAAGCCAACACCGACUACGUGGACUUCUACUGGACCACACGGAGGCCUUCAAACCGGACCAACAAGUUCAGCGACUCCCCGACUCGUGGGUCUGAGGACGCCGCCGAGCCUCGGUCCAGCCGGCCUCCUGUCUGUGGGUGUUUGAGUGCUGAGAGGUUUGUGGAUGCAUGUGAACGUGUCUGUGUUGAAACAGCAGCUUUUGACUCAGUAACGCUGGUAAAAACCAAGAGCUCCUUUAUUUGUGACUUCCACUAAAAAAACUGAUG